ensembl:lncRNA LINC02840 long intergenic non-protein coding RNA 2840
AAAAGAGUAUCACAAAAUGGGAAGGGUAAGCGUUUGGAGCAGCAAUCCACGAAGGGCUCUGGGCAUCCCUGUGCAUCAUUGCUGGGUGUGCCAGGAAUGCAACACCCUCGCCACUUUUUAUCCAGGCCGUUUCUCAGCGUUGGAUGUGCAAGCAGUUUUGAGAGAUGAAGUCAUGACUUCAAGACAAAAAAACAGGUUUGCUUAUUUUGCUACAAACCAAUAAGUUCUUCAGCCAUGCUGCAAAUCCACUGUGUAUCCAGUUCCCAUCUGCGGCCCGCACAUCAUCCCCAUGGGACUUGAGAGCAAGAGGAUCCCACGCAAAUCAUGUUGCUUGCUAUGCUGUAUAGAUGAAGGAGAGGCUGGUGUCUGCUUUUCACCUGAAGAUUCCUGGGAAUCACAUUUGCCUGAAGCAUUCAUAAGAGCAUGGCAAAAGGGGCAGUUGCUCUGUUGUGCCAGGAAGAAGAUGGAGGUAACCCCAUGCCUUCAUUCCAGUUAUCCAAAGCUCUCAAAGCUGUAGAAGAGAACUUCAAAGUUCUGUUUUAUUAUUAUUAUUAUUAUACUUUAAGUUCUGGGACACAUGUGCAGAACAUACAGGUUUGUUACAUAGGUAUACAUGUGCCAUGGUGGUUUGCUGCACCCAUCAACCCGUCAUCUACAUUAGGUGUUUCUCCUAAUGCUAUCUCUCCCCUUGCCCCCCACUCCCUGACAGGCCUCGGUGUGUGAUGCCACCCCCACCCUCGUGUCCAUGUGUUCUCAUUGUUCAACUCCCACUUAUGAGUGAGGACAUGUGGUAUUUGGUUUUCUGUACCUGUGUUAGUUUGCUGAGAAUGAUGGUUUCCAGCGUCAUCCAUGUCCCUACAAAGGUCAUGAACUCAUUCUUUUUUAUGGCUGCAUAGUAUUCCAUGGUGUAUAUGUGCCACAAUUUUCUUAAUUUAGUCUAUCAUUGAUGGGCAUUUGGGUUGACUCCAAGUCUUUCCUAUUGUGAACAGUGCUGCAAUAAACAUACAUGUGCAUGUGUCUUUAUAGUAGAAUGAUUUAUAAUCCUUUGGAUGUAUACCCAGUAAUGGUAUUGCUGGGUCAAAUAUUAUUUCUGGUUCAAAUAUUAUUUCGGGCAAUUCUUGAGGAAUUGCCACAUUGUCUUCCACAAUGGUUGAACUAAUUUACACUCCCACCAGCAGUGUAAAAGAGUUCCUAUUUCUGUGUUUUUAUGUGAAGAAACAUGAGUUUAGGGGAGAGGGCAGGAGACAAGGUCCCCACCCAGGAGAUAAGUAGACAAAGUAAGAUAAAGGCCCAUGAAUGAGCCUAAGGCAUAGGUGGGUUAUAGGGAGAUGUGUCUGUGUCUCACUAAGAAUGUUCUAAAGAUCACCCUAAGGAAGCCAUCCACAUCAGCAGCAGGGAAACAUCUAAGGUGAUGACACCACUAGCAGCAGAAAAGAAGAGUUUGUGCCGGAGUAGGACUGGGGUCUCUAGAUGAAGCCUGCAUGGCACCAGAGUUGCCUCCCCACCACCAAUACACGGCCAGGUCUGUAAAACCUGAAGAUUCUUUAGUUUCCCUUUUCUUCUCUCUGCCAUACCCCAAGAAAAGCUAGACCCAGAAGAGAAAGGGAAGAAGGUGUGUAAAUAAGAGAAGUCCACAUACUUUUACCUUCCCCCUCAGUCUUCUCAAAGACCCUGAUGUGAGAGGAGAAGAGGAAGAUCAGACAUUGGCUCUUCCUCACAUAGGUUCCUUCUUGAUAGGAAAAGAAGACAGCGUUAGAUAAAAUUUGGGAUCACAGCUUCAAAGAUGCCAUUAUGUGAUGGGAAAGAAAUACUAGACAGAGUCUUGUUAAGGGCAGUGAUUGGAGAAAAAUAAAAAUGUUCAGUUUUGACCCCAUUGAGUUAUCUACUCUGUAAGCCAGGUGCACUUACGUGAGACGAGAUUUAACACAAUGUGAAUUUUGCUUUUUUUCCUCCCUUAAGGCUUUCAUACUGCACUUAGCACUUUAUUAGGAUUUUAGUUUAUGGUAUACACACUAAAUAUUAAAUUUAUCGAGACUUGGUUGGGCAGAUGCCCUAUAAUUCACACAGUGCCAGGUAACAUAGACACUGUAACAAAGGCAUAUACGCUGGGCGCAGUGGCUCACGCCUGUAAUCCCAGCACUUUGGGACGCCGAGGCAGGCAGAUCACGAGGUCAGGAGAUUGAGACCAUCCUGGCCAACAUGGUGAAACCCCGUCUCUACUAAAAAAAAAAAAAUACAAAAAAUUAGCCGGGCGUGGUGGCGGGCAUCUGUAGUCUCAGCUACUCUGGAGGCUGAGGCAGGAGAACGGCGUGAACCCGGGAGGCGGAGCUUGCAGUGAGCCGAGAUGAUGCCACUGCACUCCAGCCUGGGCGACAGAGCGAGACUUCGUCUCAAAAAAACACAAAUAAACAAAGGCAUAUACGAUAAGGCUUCCUUUCCAAGCAUUUACAAUUGGCCGGGGGUAAUAUACAAGCACUUAAGUUAUCUAAAAAGACAGAAGUCAAUUAACAAUAUAAAUUCUGCCAAGAUUUAUAUGAAACAUUUUAAAGAAAAUAUUGCAUUUGUGCAAUGUUAGAAAAAAUUAAAUACCAUAUGUUAAACCUUCUCAUAUUUUCUUCAGCCAGCUCCUCCUAUAUGUUUUCUUUAAGUCGAUAUUUUAUGUGUUAGGUCCGGUCAUUCGCUUCUAAUUGUUGCCAUUAAUUUUACAUGUGAGAGUGCACAGAUGAAAAGAAUGAGUGUUUGACAGCGUCUACAAAUGGAAAAUGUCUUUGUCAAGAGCCAAACUGAAAAGGCCAAAGCCCUCUAGUUUGCUGUUUCUAGCAUCUGAAGUCCAGACACAAACGACUCUGACCAGUGCUUGCUGAUGUGACAUCUGUUUUCAUCUGCGUUUGCUCUGGGAGAUGCCCUGUUAGCCCUUUCCUGGACUGCCUUGAUUCUGAUACCUUGCCUGGACAAUCU